rnacentral:rRNA from 1 species
GUCUGCAACUCGACUACAUGAAGCUGGAAUCGCUAGUAAUCGCGAAUCAGAAUGUCGCGGUGAAUACGUUCCCGGGUCUUGUACACACCGCCCGUCACACCAUGGGAGUCGGAUAUGCCCGAAGUCAGUGACCCAACCAUAUGGAGGGAGCUGCCGAAGGUGGAGCCGAUAACUGGGGUGAAGUCGUAACAAGGUACC